CGCACAGGUUCAUACACACAAGAUGAGGACAAGUUGAUUUGCCAAUGUUGGAUGGAGAUUAGCCAAGAUCCGAGGACGGGCGCGCAACAAAAGGGCCUAGUUUUUUGGAUGAGAGUCCACAAAACUUUCCAUGAAAGGAAGAUGUUUGAGCCCUACCAAAUCACAAGCAACCGUGGCAUCACCUCGAUUCAAAAGAGGUGGUUGUUCAUCCAACAAGAGUGCAACAAAUAUUGCGCCGCAUUUGAGAGCGUUGAAGCACGGCCCGUGAGUGGCCUUGGCGUUGGGGACAUGGUAUGCUCUCCUCAUCCUAGUCCUUUCCUUGAUAUGGCCAAGUGA
rnacentral:rRNA from 1 species